UGGGUGUGGCCUUGUUGGUGUGGAUGUGGCUUGGUUGGAGGAAGUGUGUCACCGGGGAAGUGUUUUGAGGUCUCAGAUGCUCAACCCAGGCCCAGUGUGGGCUUGUCUUCCUGCUGCCUGCUGACCCAGAUGUAGAACUCUGCUACCUCUCCAGCACCUGUCUGCCUGAGGGCCUCGAUGCUUCCUGCCAUAAAGAUAAUAAACUAAACCUUUGAACCACUGAGAACCGUAUCAAGGCCUUGCACAUGUUUACUUUCUAACUGGUCUGAUGGUUCUACCACACGGUGCACAGAACCGCGAACUGGGAGGCAAGUGACCCAGACUUGAAUCCUGUUUUGUACUUGUUAAGACCGUGAACUUGAAUAAAACUCUGAUCUUUUACCUUCCUCAUAUCCACCCAGAAUAUAGUGAGUAACCCCUCCUCUUUAUUGGGUCAAUUUAAGGAUUCAUCGAAAAUGUAAACUACCCUUUGUGAGCUGUAACUGCUAUAGAAAUGUAAUACAUAUGACCUUAAGGUGUUUACCCACUUGCCACUUUUACAAUGAACUUCCCCAUUCUUCCCCUGGGUCAGACUUGGCAUCAGGAGAAAGCCAAAGCAGUGUGAUUAGGGACCUAGGUGGACCUGCCUCUGCUGUGUCACCACCCUGUUCUGCAUAGGACCUACUUGCAGAGUCUUGGCUGUUUUCUUCAAUACAGAUUUUUAUGACAGGCUUUGAGAGAUCUGUACGGUAAAGGACAUAGAGUAUUGACCUCUCCUAGCUAUGUCUUUUGAAUAUAUUUAGUUUUUCAGAGAAUUGUGUUAGAUACUAAAGAAUCAGAAAUUAUUGGUUAUAAUUUUUUUUAAGCUUCAGUCUGGUGAAGGAGAUAGAACAUACACACACACACACACACACACACACACACACAGUAGACAGACUGUAAGUUGUGAUAAGUGCUAGGUGCUAGGAUGGAUACAAAUCAGUAGUGAUGGAAGAUAAGGUGUGUGGGAGACUUACUUUGGGCAGUUUGAGGUUGAGACCUGAGAAAAGCCGGUCAUGCAGAGAUCUGAGAUAAGAACUUUCUAGGCAUAGAGAACUUUGUGUGGGAAGAUCCUAGGGCUCAAGAAAGUUUUCUAGCUGAAAGAUGACUAAAAUGGCGAUGACCGUGGUCCAGAUGAGUUGGGAAGGGUGGACUGAGGCCAGGACUGAAAGCUGUGGGGUGUGGAAAUUCAAGAAUUACCUCACCGUCUCUGUCUCAAAGUCAAAGUAUUACCUCAGAAUAUUUGACUUUCUCAUCAGAACAUGGGAGAUAGUCUUAUCUCUGCCAGCUACCUAAAUACUGGACUUCACAUCUAGUCAACAGAUACACUAGCCUACCAGUACUACGUCCAAAUAUCUUUGUAAAUCCAUUCACUCAACCUCAUUUCUGUCACCGUGGAUAAAGCCAUGGUCCCCUUGCCCUAGACACUGUAGAAGCUGUCUGUGUAGCAGUGUGCUGGUGAAAGUCCUCAUGGUGACUACAUUGGGGAAUGUCUAACUAGUAGUACUUGCAAGUUUCCUUGGUGUCAAUAUGCACACUCUGACCUCUGACCUACCAACAUGGCGGUGUUAAAUUUAUCAUCAGGAAGAUAUUUACAGUUGACCUUCUGAUACCCUAACAAAUUGGUGGCAAUAUUCCACCACCUAGAGUGUCUGUCUGCUGCUUCUUCUAGUACACACCCAGAACAAUCUCUUAUUAUCUCAAAUAUUUUAAUAGUUGAAGACUUAGAAAUAUCUAUUAAAUUUUUUGGUAACAAAGACUUGAAUUUUUCUAUAGUUGAAGGAUGCAGAAAAAAGUUUUUUCCCAACAGUAUUUAUUUGUUAAAUGUUAUUUUUAAAAUUGUUUUAUUUAUUUACAUUCCAAAUGUUGCCUUCCUUCCUGGCCCCCCCAUCCCCACCACCAAGAGUUCUUUAGCUCCUCUCCCAUCUCCUUUGCGUCUAAGAGGGUACUCCCCCAGCCCACCACCCUCACCCAACUACCCACCCCCAGAUCAUCCCCUUCCCUGGGGCAUCCAGUUUCCACAGGAAGCAUCCUCUCCCACUGAGGCCAAACAAGGCAGUCUUCAGUUAUGUAUGUGCCAGGGACCACAGACCAGCCCAUGUAUGCUCCUUGGUUGGUAGCUUAGUCUCUGGGAGCUCCUAGAAGUCCAGGUUAGUUGAUACUGUUCUUGCCAUCCCCUUCAGCUUCUUCAGUCCUCCCCUAAUUCAUCCAUAGGGAUCCCCAGCCUCAGGCUAGUGGUUGGUUGUAUCUUCAUCUGUCUCAGUCAGCUGCUGGUAGAGUUUCUCAGAGGACAGCCCUGAACUGUGUUUGGAUCUUUCAUCCUCAAUGCCCUCUAUGUACUGUUUUGACUUAUGUCUUCACAGGUAGAGACAUCAUGAAAUGUUAGGUUAGCUUAGGUUAGCUUUGGUCUUAGAUACUUGCUGAGAACCUAGCAACCUUGUUGUUUUGGACUGCAGCCUGAAUCCACAGCGGACUCCUAGUCUUAAGGCUUUGACCGAGCUAUGCCUUUGAGGGCAAAUGAGCUCCUCUGUAACUCUGGGUGUGUACACCAGCUUUCCAGUACUGCGACAGACACCCGAGACAAUCAACCUUAGAGAGAAAGGGUUUACUUUGUGUCACAGUUUUGGAAAUCUGACUCCAUGAUCAGGCAGGCUUCUUGGUAGGGACAGAUGGCAACGGCAAGGAGCCCCUAACAGAACAAAACUGCUCACUUCGUGGUUGGGAAGUGAGUGGAAGGGACAAGAGAAACUGGUUCCCACAAUGCUCUUUGGGAGCAUGCUCCCAAAGAGCCCAAACACUUCUCACUCAGCUCCACUCUAAAAGUUCCGUCAUCCCUCAGGAGCACCAAAAUGGGGCUGCAGCCUUUUAACAAGUAGACAUUUAGAGAGGAUACUUACGAUCUAAACUCCAG
ensembl:lncRNA